rnacentral:rRNA from 1 species
AGUGAACGCUGGCGGUAGGCCUAACACAUGCAAGUCGAACGGCAGCACAGUAAGCGCUUGCUCUUACGGGUGGCGAGUGGCGGACGGGUGAGGAAUACAUCGGAAUCUACUUUUUCGUGGGGGAUAACGUAGGGAAACUUACGCUAAUACCGCAUACGACCUACGGCUGAAAGCAGGGGAUCUUCGGACCUUGCGCGAUUGAAUGAGCCGAUGUCGGAUUAGCUAGUUGGCGGGGUAAAGGCCCACCAAGGCGACGAUCCGUAGCUGGUCUGAGAGGAUGAUCAGCCACACUGGAACUGAGACACGGUCCAGACUCCUACGGGAGGCAGCAGUGGGGAAUAUUGGACAAUGGGCGCAAGCCUGAUCCAGCCAUACCGCGUGGGUGAAGAAGGCCUUCGGGUUGUAAAGCCCUUUUGUUGGGAAAGAAAAGCAGCAGGUUAAUACCCCGCUGUUCUGACGGUACCCAAAGAAUAAGCACCGGCUAACUUCGUG